AGUUAUGCCAUCAAGAAAAAGGAUGAGAUUGAAAGAGUUGCCAAGGCCAACCGUUGAGGGAUGAAUGCAAGAUGGCAGUGGAAAAAGUUUUUUAUUUUUCUCAAGAUUUUUGUAGUUCUGUUCUAAAACUUUGGGUAGUUCUGUUCUAAAACUUUGGGAAGACUAGUGAUUUUGUCAUUUGUGGCAGAGGUUGCUCUCUUUUUAUUUGGUGUUAUAUCAUGUUAUUAAGAAUCCAUUAGCGACUUAAAUUGCUUAAUUGCGUGUGUUAUUU
rnacentral:lncRNA from 1 species